UUCCGGUUGAUCCUGCCGAAGGCUACUGCUAUUGGAGUUCGAUUAAGCCAUGCGAGUCUAAGGGGUACUUGUACCCCUGGCAUAAUGCUCAGUAACACGUGGAUAAUCUACCCUUAGGUGGGGCAUAAACCCGGGAAACUGGGGCUAAUACCCCAUAGAUACAGAAGGCUGGAAUGCCUCUGUAUUCAAAGCUCCGGCGCCUAAGGAUGAGUCUGCGACCUAUCAGGUAGUAGUCAGGGUCACGACCUGACUAGCCAACGACGGGUACGGGGUGUGAGAGCACUUGCCCGGAGAUGGUUUCUGAGACACGAAACCAGGCCCUACGGGGCGCAGCAGGCGCGAAAACUUCGCAAUGCGGGAAACCGUGACGAGGGAACUCCAAGUGUCUAUGCAAUGCAUAGACUGUUUUUCAGCCUAAAUAGCUGUUAGAGUAAGGGGUGGGUAAGACCGGUGCCAGCCGCCGCGGUAACACCGGCACCCCGAGUGGUAGCCACUAUUAUUGGGCCUAAAGCGUUCGUAGCCGGUUUAGUAAAUUCUUGGGUAAAUCGUACAGCUUAACUGUGCGGAUUCCGGGGACACUACUAGACUUGAGACCGGGAGAGAUUAGAGGUACUUGCAG
rnacentral:rRNA from 1 species